GUGCGCCACAAUCAAGCAUUGGAGCUCAGGGUUGCCAACAAAUCGUGAGGGCGUAUGAGGGUCUAGAGCGUAGGGAGCCGCCGUGUGUGAACUCCGACUCGUCGUUAGCCGGGUCCUCGGUGUGGUGCCCUUGGGCUUCCUCUGGCUUGGGGGAAGGUAGAUGAAGCCGGGCCGCUUGAAAUUCAUUGCCAGCACCGACUGAAUUGCUCGUCGAUCAAAUCCCGUCGCGGACCGCAAGCUCCCGCGGCCGGGUCCGCCCACGCGUCUAGCCGUGACGGGCAAGUGACUGAGGACCUAGAGGCUCAGUAGGUGGAUACUACUGAGCAGGAGCUCGUUGAAGGCAAGUUGUGCCCUUGAUCACUUCUAUUUACCCAAUAAUGUUCCAGUUAAUCAUUAUGAUCUACAUAGGUUAAUUUUGAUGCGACCCAAUAUGUCACCCUAGUUUGACUAUCUUUAUACCUUGUUUACCACUGAACUUUUGGGUAGUACUUAAUAUUGCUUUAUGUGGUUUUGGGUAUUAAGAUACACAUUAUUCAUGAUCAUCUUUUUAUUAUCAAUUUGUUAUUUACUGAUUCAUGACAAGAUCAUUAUGUUAAUUGGAACAUGGAGAACCACCCGGGAAAAUAGUGCUCCCACAAGGGUGAUAUGGGACGCCCUUGGCUGACUAAUGAGGAAAGCUACUGGAUGACUACCUUAUCUAAAAGGGGCAAGGACAGUAGGGGAGUGGUCUGUGUAGGGAGGUUCUUGGGUUGAUUUUGCUACAAUGGCGGUCAGACGGGGGAUUCCUGCAUUGCGCUCCCUAGAAACUGUAGCGGGUUUUCUGAAGCUAGUGGAACUUUGUAAAGGCCUCGUAGUGUUACCCUGCCUCGCUUCCUUGGUAGAGGUGUAUGGGAUUCAUGACCCCUUGGCAGAUGGGUAACAUGACUUGUGGGUAAAGAUGUGCAACCUCUGCAGAGUGUAAAACUGGUAUAUCAGCUGUGCUCACGGUAAUGAGCGGCUCGGACCCUCACAUGAGUAUCUUAUGGAAUUAAAUUUAAUU
rnacentral:lncRNA from 7 species